rnacentral:rRNA from 1 species
AGAAUCAACGCUGGCGGCGUGCCUAACACAUGCAAGUCGCACGAGAAAGGGGAGCAAUCCCUGAGUACAGUGGCGCACGGGUGAGUAACACGUGAAUCAUCUACCUCCGAGUGGGGGAAUAACUGAGAGAAAUCUUAGCUAAUACCGCAUAACACUUACGAGUCAAAGCAGCAAUGCGCUUGGAGAGGAGUUCGCGGCAGAUUAGUUAGUUGGCGGGGUAAUGGCCCACCAAGACGAUGAUCUGUAUCCGGCCUGAGAGGGUGCACGGACACACUGGAACUGAAACACGGUCCAGACUCCUACGGGAGGCAGCAGUGGGGAAUUUUGCGCAAUGGGGGAAACCCUGACGCAGCAACGCCGCGUGGAGGAUGAAGCCCCUUGGGGUGUAAACUCCUUUCGAUCGGGAAGAUAAUGACGGUACCGAUAUAAGAAGCCCCGGCUAACUUCGCGCCAGCAGCCGC